CCUGUCAAAAAAAUCCCAUAUACCCCCUCCUUUUUCAUUUUUAUUUUUCUUUAUUUUAUUUGAAAAAUAUUAAAAGACCAAGAAAUCAUACAAACCUAACUAAUUACAACUUUACCAAUGUGACUACCCUCUCACGGCACCUUGACCAGGGAUGGUGAAAGCGAGCCUUGUCCACCUUACCUUGAGGCAAAGCAGAGUAAAUGACAAAUCUAUAAAUCGUCACCGCUCACCACCAUACCUCGAAUAAAACCCCCCAUCACCACCAUAUGUUGAUACCUCAUAGGAAUGAAAUGCAAACAAACGCCAGAUCUGAAAAUCUCAACCUUCGAAACCCUAAAGGUCAGCGCCUAUACCACCACACCACCAUCCUUGCUUGUUGCCUCUCCAGAAAGAAUCUAAACGGCGUAGCAGGCCCUCUCGAUUGAGACUGAAACCACCACACAGACCUCUAGAAUGACCCACUUUUCGAUCAAGAUGACAUGAGAGGACAGACGCGAAAAGGAGAA
rnacentral:lncRNA from 1 species